rnacentral:rRNA from 1 species
UACGAAGGGUGCAAGCGUUAAUCGGAAUUACUGGGCGUAAAGGGCGCGUAGGCGGUUCGUUAAGUCCUGUGUGAAAUCCCUCGGCUUAACCGGGGAACUGCGUCUGAUACUGGAUGGCUUGAGUUCGGGAGAGGGAUGCGGAAUUCCAGGUGUAGCGGUGAAAUGCGUAGAUAUCUGGAGGAACACCGGUGGCGAAGGCGGCAUCCUGGACCGACACUGACACUGAGGAGCGAAAGCCAGGGGAGCAAACGGG